CCUGGCGGCUUUAGCGCGGUGGUCCACCUGACCCCAUGCCGAACUCAGAAGUGAAACGCCGUAGCGCCGAUGGUAGUGUGGGGUCUC
rnacentral:rRNA from 1 species